rnacentral:rRNA from 1 species
UACGUAGGGCGCAAGCGUUGUCCGGAAUUAUUGGGCGUAAAGAGCUCGUAGGCGGUUUGUCGCGUCUGCUGUGAAAACCUAAGGCUCAACCUUGGGCUUGCAGUGGGUACGGGCAGACUAGAGUGCGGUAGGGGAGACUGGAAUUCCUGGUGUAGCGGUGAAAUGCGCAGAUAUCAGGAGGAACACCGAUGGCGAAGGCAGGUCUCUGGGCCACUACUGACGCUGGAGAAG